CGGAAACGAAAUCUGUCUGUUUCCUUUCUCUUUGCUCCGAGUCGGAUAAGCAGAUCGAUGUUGGGAAUAUCUUGACGAGAAUUCUCUGGCGAAAAACGAAGGCCUUGUUAUUUUUAGUGUGGAUCGCGAAGCUGAUAGUUCGUGAGUUCUGGAACAAGUUGUAACAAGUUGUAUAGAGUUCAAUGCUGCGUAUAUACAACGAUGUACGUAGAGGCGAAACGCUGUGCAAACUUUCGUGCAAGUAAAUGCGGAGGCGCAUCGUGCAGUAUCUAGGCUAUAUCUACUUGAACCGGAGAGAAACGAAGAGGAGCAAAAUGUCCACGAACGAACAUCCUUUCAAACGAGAUCAUUCUUUUAUGAAACAGACAGAAAGAGACAAUAGGUGUACCUUUGUUCGUUUCAAUUCGCAGUGCCAGUACCUUUCUGCGUCUCCUCGAGAGAAGUACCUCAAUCGGUUACGCUAGCGAGCAAAACCGACCUGAAUGUCCUAUGUACAAGGUCUAACGAGUGAAAGAAAGAAACAUACGCCUAAGGACAAUCGAUGCAACCUAAACACAGCCUGCACAAUGGAUGCAUUCACACACCGACGUGAAAGAUGAGAAUGUUCACGCGAGAUUCGUCGCAAAAUUGGUUCAGGGCAAGCGCAGUGAGGAGAUUGGAACGUUUAGACCUGGUUCGCAGUUGUGUUUCAAUCGUGUGCACUUUUUUUCCAGACCUUACAAAGCUCGAAGGUCACUUCAAGAGCUCCAUAAACUUUCCAUAUCAAACACAAAAAACAACAGUU